ensembl:lncRNA
AUCUUGCUGGAGAUCCCUGCCUACCUGAGGUCUGCUGAAGCUUCCUGCUCUGGAUGGUGACUUCAAAGCCGGCGUCAGCACUCACUCCAGCAGCCAGGGCAGCCAUAGCCUGCACACAGGGGAGGGCACUGGGACCAUCCAUCCUGCAGAACUCCAUCCAGAGCUACAAUAACACCCAAUCUUCUGUAUCUGAAAGCAUACACAAGGCUGAUUCUAGAUUUGUGAUGUGCAAAGGUUCCCUCCGUCCUACUUUUGGAAUACUCCUGGAUUUGUUAUCUGAGUUGCCUGUGGAUCCAGAUCUGCUGUUUUUCAUUGAUAAUGUGUUGGUUCCUCUCUGGAGUGUUGUGUCUCUGCUAUCGUUGAAGGCCGACGUCUGGGGAUGCAUGACAAACUCUUGUACUGAAUGGAUGUUCCACUGAUGCUAUAGGAGAUCAUCCUCAGCACAGUGCCUGUUACCAUAUCUCCUAGGUUUUGAACACUUCAAGCUGGUCUGGAUACGGUUUGAACGUGCAGAAAACCUCAGGGUUCGUACAACACACUUGGCCAGGACACUGGGCAGUGUCAGCCUCAUCCCAGGACACUGCUGCAAGCUUCCCAGCCUUGUGCAGAAUGUCUGAAGAUUCUUUCAAAUUUGUACAUGCUGACGUAAACAGAGCCCCUUGCUGCGGAAAUAAAACUGCAGGGAAUUUCUGGCAGUGUUUGGAAUGAUACAUAGUUUUGUGGUGACCUCUCCAUAGCAAGCACAAAGUUCUGUAUCUGCUUGGCACCAAGUGAAAUGUUUGGCAUGACUUGAAACGCCCUGAGAACCAAAGUCACCUCUUAAGGUCCUUGUCCCACUGAUCCCUGCAGAAGCAGUGAAAAGGCAUCAUUGCUCUUUUUUCAAUCCAGGAGAAGCUGAAUGAUGGAAAGGUUAAGUGAGUUGCUUAGGGACACAUAGGAAAUCAAUAGCAGAACAGAACCUCCUAGCCGUAUUUCCUAAACACCCAUGCACACCCUUAAAGAAACUUUAAAGGAGGUUUCAUCCUACUGCCAAGCAGAUGCUGGGCUUCCCCAGCCACACAGCUGAGCACCCAUAGCUGUUGGACAGCUCCAGCCCCACAUCGCACCCAUGGCUCUCCCCCUCAAUGCUGCCCUGUGGUUUCAGCUCAUUUCCUGGAGUGCAGAAAAAAAGAAAGCCCUGGGGUUCAGCAGCAGUCUGACAGCAGCUGACCUUUAUAUGAUAAGCAAUGUUCCUCAGCAGUGUGCAUCAGUUUGCAUCAGUUUAUAUUUAUUUUGCUCGUCUCUUGUAAGCAUCCAAUGUGAAGCUGAUUGGAUGGGACAGGCAGGAGGAUCUCAGCAUCUUGAAGUAAUCUGUAAGGAGCCGGCAGCAGAGAGUCAUUAGCAGUUUCUAUGGACAGCUUUGAGGAAUUUGUCUGUGCUAAAGACUGUUCUCAUGUCAGAGGAUUGAGAAAGGCUCGGCGAGCAGGGUUGUGUUUGUCUUGGAAGAUCUUUGGGGAAUCACAGGGCGAGUUGGAAGAGACUGAUAGAAAUCUCCCCAUCCAGGCUUCUACGUGAGCCUCUGAGAAGAUGCUGCUCUUCCAGUGUCCCUCUAUCUCUUCUGAUUAACUCACUGCUAAAAGGUGAUGUCAUGGACUCAUCCUCACUGCGUUUAUCCAAGUAUGCAGCAUGUUUCUCCCUGUAAAAAUGACAAAAUGCCACCGAAAUUGGGGCAUGAUUUAGGGACAUAAAUGCAACUUGAAAACUUCAGCAAGGUGUUCUGCAUGCAUAUGCUGGCUUACUGAGACACUGGACACUAAACAGUCUUUUAAAAGUCAUUAAAGGUGAAUUAGCCAGGUAGCAGACCUUUGUUUGCUUAAUGCACUGCAGGCACCUGGAGCAGAGGCAGUGCCUGUGCUGAUGGAAAACCUCCGUGUGUGGCACUCAGAGCUGCUCUGGUGAGACCAAAAUACGUGCAGGGUAAUGCUCAGCCUCCCACAGUUCAAGGAGGUCAGAAACAUUCAUCAGACCUGGUCUUGAAACAUGAAGCAUUGAGAAGAAGCUUAAGAAAGCUUGGAAAGUUUUGGGAUGUGGGGGCUUGGAAUAUCCUUACCCCCAUCCCAUGUGAGACCCGUUCCUGUUGGCAUGACCUCUUCUACGGAGCUUUCCCAAGAGGAUCCAAUGCACACAGGAGCACAAUUGCACAAACAGGAAGGAGGAAUGAGGCUCCAGCCUUGACUCGUGCCCGGGUGGCUCCCAGUAGCACUGCAGCAGGGACAUCUGCACUCCCAAACAAACAGUGAGGCACGCAUGUGGCACCGAGCCUUGGUCCAGCUUUGUCAGUCCCUUUACCGGGAUGACUCAAAGGAAAUACCAGCAGCCUUUGAAGCUGCAGUGAAGUUAUGUCAGCUCGGCUCUGCUUCAGUCCCAGCAGAAGAAGAGCAGCAACUCUCCUAUGAACCCAGGGUAACGCACUGUUCCAGGCAUUAGCCAUUGUGUUUAUUUUCAUUUGCCAUUGUCAGAGCAGGAUUUGGCCUUUUGGCAGAGAUGCUGGCUGUGUUUUUAUGAGACUGCAGCCUCCCGACCUCAGGAAUCUGUCAUGCAGUGAUUUGGAUCCAUGAGGAAACCUCAGAUGAGUCAAUUCAUCAUUGCAGUCCCCUGGCUUAUCACCACACAGCCCAGGUGGGAGAACUGAAUCAUAAGAACAGUUCUGAGUGGGUUACUUAAGAGGAUUGUCACCAUGGGAUUAGGGCUAGAACACUCCGUUGCCACAUUACCACUUGUAUGUCUGAGGCAACAGUGAAUAAUGUACUCUGGAAGGGUCAGUAAGACAUUCCUUCACGUUUUACAUGUGGAUAUGGGUGUAGAUACUGGAGAUUCAAUAGUACAUUUUUUUUUAAUAUGGGUUGGGCAGUAUUGAGUGGGUUUUGGCACUGAAAGGAGAAAAAGCAGAAAGACCAUUAAAAAAAAAAAGAGGAUGGCAAGUUUUUUUGCUUAGAUCUUAAUUAGAAUUCAGUAAUUAACAUCAGAAUGUAAUGUGUUUGUCUUGGCAUUAAAUGAUGCCAGUGCCAUGUCAGCGUGGCUAUGCCUUCAGUAAUCAGUAGUCUUGCACACAGCUUCAUAAUCAUGACUAUAUCACCUGGGUAUCUACCCAAGGAAUGUCCAUAUUCACACCCUGAGACAAAACCUGUAGAUUCUGGUUAUUUUCUGGGUGUUUUCCCACAUCAGCCACUAUCCACAACAUCAGCAUUACCAGCGUUGCAACACACCUGUAAACUGGAGCUCAAGCAGUCCUGCUGCACAGCCCCGCUCUGUAGCUCCACUCGCCCAGCCUGUGAGCCCUCCCAUCUCCCCAUCCAUCCCCUUCUGUCUGACAUCAGUUCCCUCCUUGUGGUUUUGCCCACUGUGCC